rnacentral:rRNA from 1 species
AUUGAACGCUGGCGGCAUGCCUUACACAUGCAAGUCGAACGGUAACAGGUCUUCGGAUGCUGACGAGUGGCGAACGGGUGAGUAAAACAUCGGAACGUGCCUAGUAGUGGGGGAUAACUACUCGAAAGAGUGGCUAAUACCGCAUGAGAUCUACGGAUCAAAGCAGGGGAUCGCAAGACCUUGUGCUACUAGAGCGGCCGAUGGCAGAUUAGGUAGUUGGUGGGAUAAAAGCUUACCAAGCCGACGAUCUGUAGCUGGUCUGAGAGGACGAUCAGCCACACUGGGACUGAGACACGGCCCAGACUCCUACGGGAGGCAGCAGUGGGGAAUUUUGGACAAUGGGCGCAAGCCUGAUCCAGCAAUGCCGCGUGCAGGAUGAAGGCCUUCGGGUUGUAAACUGCUUUUGUACGGAACGAAAAGCCCCGGGUUAAUACCCUGGGGUCAUGACGGUACCGUAAGAAUAAGCACCGGCUAACUACGUGCCAGCCGCCGCGGUAA